UCUGUGUGAAAGUGUUUUGUUGAUUAGGGUUGUUGAUAUGCAAUCAUAUAGAGAUAUUUAGCACGCCAAAAAUCAUUUAUGAGGCACCGUUCACACCUUACAAACUGAAGCGAAUCGUGUAUUCGAAUCAAACGCGAUUCAGAUUUUUUAAUUUACGUAAUGAGCGACAAUGUAGAUCGUAUGUUAUUUAUAGCGUUAUUUGGUGGUACACUCUAAAAACGGCUGGGUUAUUUUUUAACCCAAAAUGCUGGGUUGAGUCUGUUGGGUCAUUUUGUUGGGUUAUUUAAUUUCUUUUUAAACACUUUUGGGUAGUUUCAAUUUACCAGGUGUUGGGUUAAACCUGCUGGGUUGCGUCGCUGGGUUGUUUCAGGCCAGCGCUGGGUUAUUUAACGCGCCUUGAAGAUGUUUAAAUCGCUCCCCAACUGUCACUUUGGAAGAACAACGGGGCAAAGCCACGGCUUUCAACUGUUUUAAGAAAAGCGCAUGGAUACAUUUGUGAGAGAAAAACUCGUCGAGUGCAGUCUUAUUGAGGCGUCUAACGGUUGGAACAAACAUGAAAUUCCUUAACUGAGCAGAGUCCACAAAACCCCAUCCAGUUGUUGUGGCGAUUUAAAAAUGCCAGCAGAUCUCUCAGGCAUUGAUCAUAAUCAAUGGACAGGUCACCGUAGCCACCCGUAUCCAGUACGUAUCCAGACCAGAUGGAGAUCAUCAUCUAGAAAGGACCUCUACAUCCCUCAAAGACAGCGGAGACCAGGACAACUAGAGCCCAGAUACAGAUCCCCUGUAAAGACCUUGUCUCAGAGGAGCACCAGGACAAGACCACAGGAAACAGAUGAUUCUUCUGCACAAUCUGACUUUGCUGCAGCCUGGAAUUGAACUACUGGUUUCGUCUGGUCAGAGGAAAACUGCCCCCCAACUGAGCCUGGUUUCUCCCAAGGUUUUUUUCUCCAUUCUGUCACCGAUGGAGUUUUUGUUCCUUGUUUUUCUUUAGUUGGGGACAAUUAAUAUCAAGCGAUAUCAUCCACUUGAUUGCACAGAGGGACGAUACAUCACUGAAUCAAUGACGAAUUGACUUUAACUGAAAACUGAGUGUUUACUUUUGUCUCUUUGCAUUAUUACACACUAUUUUCCUAUUCAAUACUGUAAAGCUGCUAUGAUGCAGUAUUUGAUCGAUAUGACAGGCUUAUUACUCAUAAUACAUGGAAAAUACAGCUACAAACUGACUUUGUUUUUCCAUUUGAAAUUUGGCAGUCACUAAACUGAAACCGUAAUUUUUGUUCAGUGUUUUUGAAACAGUGUUUUUGUUCAAGAUUUGCAAUUGUGUUUGGAUUGUCACAAUUUGUCACAAUCCAAAUGUGGAAAACGCAAUUGAAAAUAUAAUUAGCAAUUCCUUUUGAAAAUUGUCCUUCCAUAGACAGGCUCUAUAAUGGAGUACACUGCUCUGAGGUGUAGAUCUUUGCUUCAGAGCUUAAGUGUUUGACAAUAGUUCACCCAAAAAUGAAAAUUGUCACUAAUUAUUCACCCUGGUCUGAAAGCUCUCGAAUAUCAACGAAAAUAUCUUAACUUGUGUUCUGAAGAUGAACGAAGGGCUUACGGGUUUGUAACGACAUGAAGUUGAGUAAUAAAUGACAGAAUUUUCAUUUUUGGGUGAACUAUAUGUUGAACUACCCUAAGCAGUGCACAUCUACCUACGUAGGAGUCUUUAUAUACUUGAUAUAAAUUUAAGGACAUCUUUAAAUGAUUUUACAUUUAAAUUUAAAAAUGUUAAUUGUCAAUGUCAUUUCACUUUGUAUUUAAAUAGCUAAAAAUCUCAAAAUGUAAUAGUUAAACAGCUAGACACAGGUCAUUCAGAAAUAAUUUUCUUAUUUAUUGCAACUGUAUUUCUGUGAUUUUUAUUUAUUUAUUUUGCAUUUGCUGGAAACAAAAAAAGGGAAAAUUCCAUGUUGUUUGUCAUUGGUAAAAAAAUUUUGAAUGUCAGAUGGCAUUAAAAAUAUUUUUAAACAGUCUAAAUAACCUGUAUUCUUCAUUAUUUAUUAAUCCAUGAUUGCUUUGUUAAGCAAAAGUGAAAUUAUGAGAAUAACCCAGCAAGAAUAACCCAGAAUCAUAAAAAUGCAAACCCACAAAUGGUAAAUAUGACUCUAUCUUGGGUUUUCUAAAUAACCCAGCAUGCUGGGUUAAAAUGUGUAAACCAGCUUGCUGGGUUACUUUAACCCAGCAUGUGUUCUGUCCAAUAUUUACCCAGUGCUGGGUUGCCAAUUGGGUUAUUUUUAACCCAGCCAUUUAAUAAUAAAUAAUAAUAAAUAAAUAAACGUGAUGCUCUAAACACACUGACAAAAUGAGGUGAAUCGCGUGUUUGAAUCCGUUUCAAACGUGAUUAAGUUUAUUAUGUUUUUUUUUUCUAUCGCUGGUGUACUUGGUGACAGUGUAGUUAGAUCGUUUAUGUUAUUUAUAUCGUUAUUUCGCGGUAAAUUCGCGAGGCGCCAAAUGAAAUAACGCGAAUCUCGUGUUUGGAUCAUCAAAUGCGAUUCAGCUUCGGGUCCCUCGCGAAUCGAAUCACAAUUUAGAUGUUUUUUUUAUGUCGACACAAUCACGUAAAGAUGAGACGUUUCUCAGGGCGCCAAAAAAUCCUAACGAAAUGAAGCUAAUCGUGUGUUUAAAUCACUUUAAAUGCGAUUCAGUUUUGAAUUUCGAUCACAUUAUGUUUGCCUACUGAAUAUAACCCCCCCCCCCCACAUUUUUAAAGGAUAAACAAUCUUUAUAACAAUGAUGUGAGUAUUUAUCAACUUUUGUUUGAAUGGAUGUUCAUAUUUCAUCUUCCAGUUGUGACGUCAUUCAGUCAAUGGCGGGAAAACAUCUAACAUCUGUAAGUAAUAUCAAUUGAUUUGAUUAAUUCUGUCAUGUUUUGUGGUGUUAGUUGGUUUUCACUCUCUUCUCAUCGUCUAAAUGGUCGUGUCUGCUAAACCUUGUAGAAUAGAAUAUUUCCAUAACCAGCAUAUUUGGUAGAAAUCUAUAAUAAGCUUUAGUUAAUGCUAACAUAUACUACUGAGCAAUAUUCACCUGUAUAGUUAAGAAAUAUAUUAUACAAAUAUCCAAAGUUUUGAUUUGGGAU